rnacentral:rRNA from 1 species
AGACCCGAAACCCGGUGAUCUAGCCAUGGGCAGGUUGAAGGUUGGGUAACACUAACUGGAGGACCGAACCGACUAAUGUUGAAAAAUUAGCGGAUGACCUGUGGCUGGGGGUGAAAGGCCAAUCAAACCGGGAGAUAGCUGGUUCUCCCCGAAAGCUAUUUAGGUAGCGCCUCGUGAAUUCAUCUCCGGGGGUAGAGCACUGUUUCGGCUAGGGGGCCAUCCCGGCUUACCAACCCGAUGCAAACUGCGAAUACCGGAGAAUGUUAUCACGGGAGACACACGGCGGGUGCUAACGUCCGUCGUGAAGAGGGAAACAACCCAGACCGCCAGCUAAGGUCCCAAAGUCAUGGUUAAGUGGGAAACGAUGUGGGAAGGCCCAGACAGCCAGGAUGUUGGCUUAGAAGCAGCCAUCAUUUAAAGAAAGCGUAAUAGCUCACUGGUCGAGUCGGCCUGCGCGGAAGAUGUAACGGGGCUAAACCAUGCACCGAAGCUGCGGCAGCGACGCUGAUGCGUUGUUGGGUAGGGGAGCGUUCUGUAAGCCUGCGAAGGUGGCCUGUGAGGGUUGCUGGAGGUAUCAGAAGUGCGAAUGCUGACAUAAGUAACGAUAAAGCGGGUGAAAAGCCCGCUCGCCGGAAGACCAAGGGUUCCUGUCCAACGUUAAUCGGGGCAGGGUGAGUCGACCCCUAAGGCGAGGCCGAAAGGCGUAGUCGAUGGGAAACGGGUUAAUAUUCCCGUACUUGGUGUUACUGCGAAGGGGGGACGGAGAAGGCUAUGUUGGCCGGGCGACGGUUGUCCCGGUUUAAGCGUGUAGGUGUGUGUUCCAGGUAAAUCCGGUUCACUUUAACACUGAGGCGUGACGACGAGGCACUACGGUGCUGAAGCAACAAAUGCCCUGCUUCCAGGAAAAGCCUCUAAGCAUCAGGUAACACGAAAUCGUACCCCAAACCGACACAGGUGGUCAGGUAGAGAAUACCAAGGCGCUUGAGAGAACUCGGGUGAAGGAACUAGGCAAAAUGGUGCCGUAACUUCGGGAGAAGGCACGCUGACACGUAGGUGAAGUGAUUUACUCAUGGAGCUGAAGUCAGUCGAAGAUACCAGCUGGCUGCAACUGUUUAUUAAAAACACAGCACUGUGCAAACACGAAAGUGGACGUAUACGGUGUGACGCCUGCCCGGUGCCGGAAGGUUAAUUGAUGGGGUCAGCGCAAGCGAAGCUCCUGAUCGAAGCCCCGGUAAACGGCGGCCGUAACUAUAACGGUCCUAAGGUAGCGAAAUUCCUUGUCGGGUAAGUUCCGACCUGCACGAAUGGCGUAAUGAUGGCCAGGCUGUCUCCACCCGAGACUCAGUGAAAUUGAACUCGCUGUGAAGAUGCAGUGUACCCGCGGCAAGACGGAAAGACCCCGUGAACCUUUACUAUAGCUUGACACUGAACAUUGAGCCUUGAUGUGUAGGAUAGGUGGGAGGCUUUGAAGCGUGGACGCCAGUCUGCGUGGAGCCGACCUUGAAAUACCACCCUUUAAUGUUUGAUGUUCUAACGUGGACCCGUGAUCCGGGUUGCGGACAGUGUCUGGUGGGUAGUUUGACUGGGGCGGUCUCCUCCUAAAGAGUAACGGAGGAGCACGAAGGUUGGCUAAUCCUGGUCGGACAUCAGGAGGUUAGUGCAAUGGCAUAAGCCAGCUUGACUGCGAGCGUGACGGCGCGAGCAGGUGCGAAAGCAGGUCAUAGUGAUCCGGUGGUUCUGAAUGGAAGGGCCAUCGCUCAACGGAUAAAAGGUACUCCGGGGAUAACAGGCUGAUACCGCCCAAGAGUUCAUAUCGACGGCGGUGUUUGGCACCUCGAUGUCGGCUCAUCACAUCCUGGGGCUGAAGUAGGUCCCAAGGGUAUGGCUGUUCGCCAUUUAAAGUGGUACGCGAGCUGGGUUUAGAACGUCGUGAGACAGUUCGGUCCCUAUCUGCCGUGGGCGCUGGAGAACUGAGGGGGGCUGCUCCUAGUACGAGAGGACCGGAGUGGACGCAUCACUGGUGUUCGGGUUGUCAUGCCAAUGGCACUGCCCGGUAGCUAAAUGCGGAAGAGAUAAGUGCUGAAAGCAUCUAAGCACGAAACUUGCCCCGAG